AAAAUGACUCUCGGCAACGGAUAUCUCGGCUCUCGCAUCGAUGAAGAACGUAGCGAAAUGCGAUACUUGGUGUGAAUUGCAGAAUCCCGUGAACCAUCGAGUCUUUGAACGCAAGUUGCGCCCGANACCUUUAGGUUGAGGGCACGUCUGCCUGGGUGUCACAC
rnacentral:rRNA from 1 species